UAUUCAGGGACAAAUUUGCAGUAUUAGCCUGUGGUCCCUAGGAAAGCUAAUACCUGCGUCUUAGCAGUGGUGUAUCCUGGUUUUGUGCUGCCCUAGGCAGGACAAAACUCAGGCGCCCCCUCCCCCCAUGCCACCCCACCUUCUAAAUACACACAUUCACUGACAGAUACGCAUACACUAGCUAACAGAAACACACACACACUAACAGACACACAACCACUAACAGACACACACACACACAC